rnacentral:rRNA from 1 species
UACAGAGGGUGCGAGCGUUAAUCGGAAUUACUGGGCGUAAAGCGCGCGUAGGCGGCUUUUCAAGCCGAUUGUGAAAUCCCCGGGCUUAACCUGGGAACUGCAGUCGGGACUGUCUAGCUAGAGUAUCGGAGAGGGAAGUGGAAUUUCAGGUGUAGCGGUGAAAUGCGUAGAUAUCUGAAGGAACAUCAGUGGCGAAAGCGACUUCCUGGACGAAUACUGACGCUCAUGUGCGAAAGCGUGGGGAGCAAACAGG